GUCAGCUCCUCCCCUCCAGCCCACGCUGCCUCUUCGCCCACUCGGGCUGCGCGGGGGCGGAUGAUGGUGCCGGCGUCUCCAGCUCAAUUUCAGUUCUCCCACGCCCGCGGGAGCCCAGCGCGCCAGGGCUUCCACCUGCGCGCGCCUUGGCACCUCAGUUACGCCGCCUGCCGGCAGUUAACCUUCGCCCCCGCCACGCCCUCCGCCCAGCCGCUCUCCGCCCCGCCGCGAUCCGCAGACGCGAGGCCCCAGGCGCGUCCCCGAGCCCCAGGCUGGGGCCAGCGCUGGACGGCGAAGGCGAGGCUGCUCCAGAGGUCAGAGGCGCCGCGGCAGCCACACCCUCCGGCUGCACAGUGACAGCUCCCGCGGCUGAGGCGGGCGGUGCCGACAGUUGGCCCCCAGAGAACUGAAACACGUCUGACCUCAGUGCACACUGGCUUGGAAGACCAAGGAAACUGCUACAUUCAACUGCUUAUUCUACCAAGAAACCCCAUCACAAGCCUGUCUCCACUGUCUGGAUGGUCCAGGAGAAUCCACAUCUUCUCUGGGAAAUCCCACUUCCUCAUGCUGCAAAAAUAUGCAGAAACAAACAAACAAACAAAAAUCUCUUCCCAAGUCCACCAGCACUUUCACAUCAUGUUAAGGUCUAAGUUCAGAGAUGACUUUUUUUUUUAAUUCUGCAAUUUCUUAUAGUUCCUCAUAGAAUUCUGCACAUGGCUGAAGGAAAGCUGGAGGGGUUUGAAAACCAGACAAUGCUGAAGCUCUGAAGCCACUGGAAAGAGUUCAGGAUGAGUUAGAAAGGAGCAUUCCAAACAGGUCUGAGCAUAAGGCAGGAGUUUAAUUAAUCUGUUACUGGUAACAGGAAUAGAACAAUAUCAAAUUGUAAAGUUUCUUCAAGCUUGCUCUAUGUAUGUUGACAUUAAAUACAACAUCUUAUAA